ACACAAAAGCGCAUGUGCUGUGAGCUCGAUGAGUAGGGCGGGACACGUGGUAUCCUGUCUGAAUAUGGGGGGACCAUCCUCCAAGGCUAAAUACUCCUGACUGACCGAUAGUGAACCAGUACCGUGAGGGAAAGGCGAAAAGAACCCCGGCGAGGGGAGUGAAAAAGAACCUGAAACCGUGUACGUACAAGCAGUGGGAGCACAGGUUUACCUGUGUGACUGCGUACCUUUUGUAUAAUGGGUCAGCGACUUAUAUUCUGUAGCAAGGUUAACCGAAUAGGGGAGCCGGAGGGAAACCGAGUCUUAAUUGGGCGUUAAGUUGCAGGGUAUAGACCCGAAACCCGGUGAUCUAGCCAUGGGCAGGUUGAAGGUUGGGUAACACUAACUGGAGGACCGAACCGACUAAUGUUGAAAAAUUAGCGGAUGACCUGUGGCUGGGGGUGAAAGGCCAAUCAAACCGGGAGAUAGCUGGUUCUCCCCGAAAGCUAUUUAGGUAGCGCCUCGUGAAUUCAUCUCCGGGGGUAGAGCACUGUUUCGGCUAGGGGGCCAUCCCGGCUUACCAACCCGAUGCAAACUGCGAAUACCGGAGAAUGUUAUCACGGGAGACACACGGCGGGUGCUAACGUCCGUCGUGAAGAGGGAAACAACCCAGACCGCCAGCUAAGGUCCCAAAGUCAUGGUUAAGUGGGAAACGAUGUGGGAAGGCCCAGACAGCCAGGAUGUUGGCUUAGAAGCAGCCAUCAUUUAAAGAAAGCGUAAUAGCUCACUGGUCGAGUCGGCCUGCGCGGAAGAUGUAACGGGGCUAAACCAUGCACCGAAGCUGCGGCAGCGACGCUUAUGCGU
rnacentral:rRNA from 1 species